UGCAAAGAAAUGUGCCAUCUCCUUACC
rnacentral:piRNA from 1 species